rnacentral:rRNA from 1 species
GUCCACGCCGUAAACGAUGAAUGCCAGCCGUUAGUGGGUUUACUCACUAGUGGCGCAGCUAACGCUUUAAGCAUUCCGCCUGGGGAGUACGGUCGCAAGAUUAAAAACUCAAAAGGAAUUGACGGGGGCCCGCACAAAGCGGUGGAGCAUGUGGUUUAAUUCGACGCAACGCGCAGAACCUUACCAGCCCUUGACAUCCCGGUCGCGGACUCCAGAGAUGGAGUUCUUCAGUUCGGCUGGACCGGAGACAGGUGCUGCAUGGCUGUCGU